UAGGGAAUCUUCCACAAUGGACGCAAGUCUGAUGGAGCAACGCCGCGUGAGUGAAGAAGGGUUUCGGCUCGUAAAGCUCUGUUGUUAAAGAAGAACGUGGGUGAGAGUAACUGUUCACCCAGUGACGGUAUUUAACCAGAAAGCCACGGCUAACUACGUGCCAGCAGCCGCGGUAAUACGUAGGUGGCAAGCGUUAUCCGGAUUUAUUGGGCGUAAAGCGAGCGCAGGCGGUCUUUUAAGUCUAAUGUGAAAGCCUUCGGCUCAACCGAAGAAGUGCAUUGGAAACUGGGAGACUUGAGUGCAGAAGAGGACAGUGGAACUCCAUGUGUAGCGGUGAAAUGCGUAGAUAUAUGGAAGAACACCAGUGGCGAAGGCGGCUGUCUGGUCUGUAACUGACGCUGAGGCUCGAAAGCAUGGGUAGCGAACAGGAUUAGAUACCCUGGUAGUCCAUGCCGUAAACGAUGAUUACUAAGUGUUGGAGGGUUUCCGCCCUUCAGUGCUGCAGCUAACGCAUUAAGUAAUCCGCCUGGGGAGUACGACCGCAAGGUUG
rnacentral:rRNA from 2 species